rnacentral:rRNA from 1 species
CAGCAGUGGGGAAUUUUGGACAAUGGGGGCAACCCUGAUCCAGCCAUGCCGCGUGCGGGAAGAAGGCCUUCGGGUUGUAAACCGCUUUUGUCAGGGAAGAAACGGCCCGACCUAAUAUGUCGGGCUAAUGACGGUACCUGAAGAAUAAGCACCGGCUAACUACGUGCCAGCAGCCGCGGUAAUACGUAGGGUGCAAGCGUUAAUCGGAAUUACUGGGCGUAAAGCGUGCGCAGGCGGCUUUGCAAGACAGAUGUGAAAUCCCCGGGCUUAACCUGGGAACUGCAUUUGUGACUGCAUGGCUCGAGUGCGGCAGAGGGGGAUGGAAUUCCGCGUGUAGCAGUGAAAUGCGUAGAUAUGCGGAGGAACACCGAUGGCGAAGGCAAUCCCCUGGGCCUGCACUGACGCUCAUGCACGAAAGCGUGGGGAGCAAACAGGAUUAGA